GACGAACGCUGGCGGCGUGCUUAACACAUGCAAGUCGAACGAAGUGGCGAACGGGUGAGUAACGCGUAAUCAACCUGCCCUUCAGAGGGGGACAACAGUUGGAAAUGACUGCUAAUACCGCAUACUGAAGGCGGGGAUUGUGUUUGAUUAGCUAGUUGGUGGGGUAACGGCCCACCAAGGCGAUGAUGCGUAGCCGGUCUGAGAGGGUGAACGGCCACAUUGGGACUGAGACACGGCCCAGACUCCUACGGGAGGCAGCAGUGGGGAAUCUUCCGCAAUGGACGAAAGUCUGACGGAGCAACGCCGCGUGAGUGAUGACAGCCUUCGGGUUGUAAAGCUCUGUUAAUCGGGACGCGGUACCGGAAUAGAAAGCCACGGCUAACUACGUGCCAGCAGCCGCGGUAAUUC
rnacentral:rRNA from 1 species